rnacentral:rRNA from 1 species
AAAGUGGAGCAAUCCAUGAGUACAGUGGCGUACGGGUGAGUAACACGUGGAUCAUCUACCUUUUAGUGGGGAAUAACCCUGGGAAACCGGGGAUAAUACCGCAUAAGCCCGAGAGGGGAAAGCAGCAAUGCGCUGAAAGAGGAGUCCGCGGCCGAUUAGCUAGUUGGCGGGGUAAGAGCCCACCAAGGCAGAGAUCGGUAGCCGGCCUGAGAGGGCACACGGCCACACUGGCACUGAAACACGGGCCAGACUCCUACGGGAGGCAGCAGUGGGGAAUCUUGCACAAUGGGGGAAACCCUGAUGCAGCGACGCCGCGUGAACGAUGAAGCCCUUCGGGGUGUAAAGUUCUUUCGGCAGGGAAGAUUAUGACGGUACCUGCAGAAGCAGCUGCGGCUAACUACGUGCCAGCAGCCGCGGUAAUACGUANGCAGCAAGCGUUGUUCGGAGUUACUGGGCGUAAAGGGUGUGUAGGCGGUUGUUUAAGUUUGGUGUGAAAUCUCCCGGCUCAACUGGGAGGGUGCGCCGAAUACUGAAUGACUUCGAGUGCGGGAGAGGAAAGUGGAAUUCCUGGUGUAGCGGUGAAAUGCGUAGAUAUCAGGAGGAACACCGGUGGUGUAGACGGCUUUCUGGACCGUAACUGACGCUGAGACACGAAAGCGUGGGUAGCAAACAGGAUUAGAUACCCUGGUAGUCCACGCCCUAAACGAUGCAUAUUUGGUGUGGGUCAUUCAGUUGAUCCGUGCCGGAGCUAACGCGUUAAAUAUGCCGCCUGGGGAGUACAGUCGCAAGGCUGAAACUC